CCUACGGGAGGCUGCAGUGAGGAAUAUUGGUCAAUGGACGAGCGUCUGAACCAGCCAAGUAGCGUGAAGGAUGACUGCCCUAUGGGUUGUAAACUUCUUUUAUAUGGGAAUAAAAUGUUCCACGUGUGGGAUUUUGUAUGUACCAUAUGAAUAAGGAUCGGCUAACUCCGGGCCAGCAGCCGCGGUAAUACGGAGGAUCCGAGCGUUAUCCGGAUUUAUUGGGUUUAAAGGGAGCGUAGGUGGAUUGUUAAGUCAGUUGUGAAAGUUUGCGGCUCAACCGUAAAAUUGCAGUUGAAACUGGCAGUCUUGAGUACAGUAGAGGUGGGCGGAAUUCGUGGUGUAGCGGUGAAAUGCUUAGAUAUCACGAAGAACUCCGAUUGCGAAGGCAGUUCACUGGACUGCAACUGACACUGAGGCUCGAAAGUGUGGGUAUCAAACAGGAUUAGAUACCCCAGUAGUC
rnacentral:rRNA from 1 species